UACGUAGGGUCCGAGCGUUGUCCGGAAUUACUGGGCGUAAAGAGCUCGUAGGCGGUUUGUCGCGUUGUUCGUGAAAACUCACAGCUCAACUGUGGGCGUGCGGGCGAUACGGGCAGACUGGAGUACUGCAGGGGAGACUGGAAUUCCUGGUGUAGCGGUGGAAUGCGCAGAUAUCAGGAGGAACACCGGUGGCGAAGGCGGUUCUCUGGGCCUGUACUGACGCUGAGGAACGAAAGCGUGGGGAGCGAACAGG
rnacentral:rRNA from 1 species